rnacentral:sRNA from 1 species
UUCAAAUAACUAUAAAUAUGAUGUCGAGUUGACUGGUAAUUAAUAGGUGAGUUUAGGUUAUUUCUGAGUAAAUUUCAAGGGUUUUAACAGAUGAAAUCUUGGGGAAAUGGUUUUAUUAGUAAAAUUGUUGUUUGGUAGUUACCUUGAGGUCACUUAGAACCUAGUUGGCUAGUUAGUGCAUUGAAAAAUCUAGUUUAAAGCAUUAGAAUUUUGAUUCAUGAGUUGUGUGGUAUAGAUUGAUUGAUUGAACCUUGAUUCCUGACCAAAUCACCAAAUUGCUAUCUAAUUGAAGUUAUAAACAUGUUUUUGAAUUAUUUCAAUGUCUAUGAUGCCAUUUUGAUCAUUUAGAUAGGUAUUAGGGGCAACCAAAGCUAAAUCUAGAGGUUUUACACUUUUGGUGUGGCGUUCAGUGACAACCAGCGAUGCCUGAGCGCUAAAAAGCCAAGAGCUCUAGCGCUCAAGCAUUAGUUUUGUGCAAAGAAUGAAGUUCAGCGGGAAGGAUGUGUCGCUCGGUGUCAGGAGCUUUUCCAUACUCUUUUUGCUAUGAAUUUCUUUUGUUUAUGUGGAUUUUUUAAGGGAAGUUUCA